rnacentral:rRNA from 1 species
AACUCAAGGAAUUGACGGGGCCCGCGACAAGCGGUGGAGUAUGUGGUUUAAUUCGAUGCAACGCGAAGAACCUUACCUAGGUUUGACAUCCGGAAAACCUUCCCGAAAAGGAAGGGUGCCCUUCGGGGAAUUCCGAGACGGGUGCUGCAUGGCUGUCGUCAGCUCGUGCCGUGAGGUGUUGGGUUAAGUCCCGCAACGAGCGCAACCCUAUUGCCAGUUGCUACCAGGUAAUGCUGGGCACUCUGGUGAGACUGCCCCGGUUAACGGGGAGGAAGGUGGGGACGACGUCAAGUCAUCAUGGCCCUUACGCCUAGGGCUACACACGUACUACAAUGGCGCAUACAAAGGGCAGCGAUACCGCGAGGUGGAGCCAAUCCCAAAAAGUGCGUCCCAGUCCGGAUUGCAGUCUGCAACUCGACUGUCAUGAAGUUGGAAUCGCUAGUAAUUCGAGAUCAGCAUGCUCGGGUGAAUGCGUUCCCGGGCCUU